UACGAGAGGCCCAAACGUUAUUCGGAAUUACUGGGCUUAAAGAGUUCGUAGGCGGCAUUGCAAGUAGGGUGUGAAAGCCCUCGGCUCAACCGAGGAAUUGCGCUCUAAACUGCAGUGCUUGAGGAACCUAGAGGUGAGCAGAACAGAUGGUGGAGUGGUGAAAUGCGUUGAUAUCAUCUGGAAUACCGGAGGCGAAGGCGGCUCACUGGGAGUUUUCUGACGCUGAGGAACGAAAGCCAGGGUAGCGAACGGG
rnacentral:rRNA from 1 species